CCCCGCCUGCCCUGUGCCACUCACCCACGCAGGACCCCACACCCCGGCAGGAUGUACCCCUCAUCAUUCCAUAGGGUGUUCAGCUCCUGUGUCCCCUCCCUCCCCCCCCCCCUCAGAUCCUGGGCUUGGUGGCCAAAGGCUCCUUCGGUACCAUACUAAAAGUGUUGGACUGCAGGAGAGAGAAGGUCUGCGCCGUGAAGGUCGUGCCCAAAGUGGAGGUGCUGCGCCGCGACACCCUUAAGCAGUGCAAGGAAGAAGUCAGCAUCCAGGU
rnacentral:lncRNA from 1 species